rnacentral:rRNA from 1 species
AACGAACGCUGGCGGCGUGUUUAAGACAUGCAAGUCGAACGGGGUGAUUGUUGUAGUAAUACACCGGUCACCUAGUGGCGCACGGGUGAGUAACACGUGAAUUACAUGCCCUUGAGUGGGGGAUAGCCCGCCGAAAGGUGGAUUAAUACCCCAUGCUAUCUUACGAUUAAAGGUGGCUUCGGCUGUCUCUCAAGGAUUGGUUCGCGCCCUAUCGGCUAGUUGGUGAGGUAAUGGCUCACCAAGGCGACGACGGGUACCUGGUUUGAGAGGACGAUCAGGCACACUGGAACUGAGACACGGUCCAGACACCUACGGGUGGCAGCAGUCGAGAAUAAUUCACAAUGGACGAAAGUCUGAUGGUGCAACGCCGCGUGGAGGAUGACGGUCUUCGGAUUGUAAACUCCUGUCAUCAGGGAGUAAGACCUGGAUGUUAACAGCACACAGGGUUGAUAGUACCUGAAGAGGAAGGGACGGCUAACUUCGUGCCAGCAGCCGCCGUAAAAC